rnacentral:tRNA from 1 species
CAAAAAAUAAUUUAAUUAAAAUAUUAAUUUUGGAGAUUAAUUAUAUAAUAUAUAUAUUAUUUUUUUGA